rnacentral:rRNA from 1 species
GGCCUAAUACAUGCAAGUCGAACGGCAGCACAGCUUAAGCUUGCUUAAGUGGGUGGCGAGUGGCGGACGGGUGAGGAAUACAUGGGAAUCUGCCCAGUCGUGGGGGAUAACGUAUGGAAACGUACGCUAAUACCGCAUGCGCCCUUAGGGGGAAAGCCGGGGACCGAAAGGCCUGGCGCGAUUGGAUGAGCCCAUGUUCGAUUAGCUAGUUGGCGGGGUAAAGGCCCACCAAGGCGACGAUCGAUAGCUGGUCUGAGAGGAUGAUCAGCCACACUGGAACUGAGACACGGUCCAGACUCCUACGGGAGGCAGCAGUAGGGAAUAUUGGACAAUGGGCGCAAGCCUGAUCCAGCCAUGCCGCGUGAGUGAAGAAGGCCCUCGGGUUGUAAAGCUC